rnacentral:rRNA from 1 species
AUUGAACGCUGGCGGCAGGCCUAACACAUGCAAGUCGAGCGGAUGAAGGGAGCUUGCUCCUGGAUUCAGCGGCGGACGGGUGAGUAAUGCCUAGUAAUCUUCCUGGUAGUGUGGGAUUACGUUCGGAAACGGGCGCUAAUACCGCAUACGUCCUGAGGGCGAACGUGGGGGAUCUUCGGAUCUCACGCUGUCAGAUGAUCCUAGGUCGGAUUAGCUAGUUGGUGGGGUAAAGGCCUACAAAGGCGACGAUCCGUAACUGGUCUGAGAGGAUGAUCAGUCACACUGGAACUGAGACACGGUCCAGACUCCUACGGGAGGCAGCAGUGGGGAAUAUUGGACAAUGGGCGAAAGAAUGAUCCAGCCAUGCCGCGUGUGGGAAGAAGGUCUUAGGAUUGUAAAGCACUUUAAGUGGGGAGGAAGAGCAGUAGGUUAAUACCUUGCUGUUUUGACGUUACAAACAGAAUAAGCACCGGCUAAAUUAGUG